rnacentral:lncRNA from 1 species
AAUAUUUUCAGAAUCUCGCAGGCAAAAUUCCCUCCCUUCCCCCACCCUCCCACCCUCCCCUUUUUUCAGGAUUCAAUUCCCUCUCCCCAACUCACAAAAUCUUUCAGGCCCAAAUUUCCUCUCUUCAUCACCUUCUCUACCGAGAGAAAGUCGGCGCAAUCAGAACAACAAAGGUUCAUACUUCGUCAUACUCUUUUUAUUUCCAGUUGCUCUAUAUCUCCUUUGUUUACUAUUCGUUAUAGAGUUCGUACUCGAAAUUGUUUAAGAUAUGCUUGCGGAUUUAUGUAUUAUUACUAGUAUUGUGUUAUAUUUUGGUUCAAUUUUGUGUUGGUUCCUUCGCUCGAGGUCUAAUUGUAAAUUUUACCCUUUUAAGAAUUGUUGUGGGGGAAUCCUGUGCGCGUUUAAAUGAAGGCUCUCUAGUGAGAGACUGUAUAUUUGUAUUAGGUGGUAUUUGGGAGAUCUUUAGUCUUUUGCGGUUGAUUGAAGUUUUCCCUAUUUUGGCUAUUGGAUGGAUUAUGUAUUUAGAAUUUUGAAGUACGGGGAACGACGCAAUGCACUCUUUCUUUGUCCAACGACUUUGAUCACUACUAAGUUUUGGGUUUGAUUUUUGAAUUGUUUGUAAGUUGGUCCAGCUUGGGGAUUGAUGGUCUAAUGGUCUACGAAUUGAUUUUUUGUUUUCCUUCUUGUUACAAUUAAGUAGAAUUUUGAUUUCGAGCCUCUUCAUAAUGUAGUACUCUAGUUAAUGUUUAAUCAAGGCUGCUUUACGAGAUACUAGUGUGAUUUUCUGAUAUUAGUUAGCAUUGUUUACUAUUCACGAACUAUCAUAAUCACAGACCAACAUGAGGAAUUUGGUAGAUGGUCUAUACUAUCGGCUCUCGCCUUUUUUGACAAACUAAUGUAAAAUGAGAAGAAUGAGGUACAAUCUUCUAAGUUUGGUUUUCAUUUGUAUAUUUGCAACUAUUGCAUCCUUGUAUAUAAAAAAUGAUUAGAAGCAUGAGUACAAUUACAUUAACUUUUGCAUAUUCUCAGGUGAUUGUUGUAGAAAAUUACUCCAAUGGAACAAAGGAUAAUCUAAAGCAACGGAUUGAUCAUCCAAGAUUUGAGCUAGUUCGUGAAGGUAAGGCACUCCUUGUGUUUGCUUCUACAAAUGUGUAUGGAUUUCUUGUUAUUCAUGAGUACUUUUGAUCAAAUGAAUAAAGCAUCUAAGUAAUUCCAACAUGUUUGUUUAACCAUGAUUAUCAGUGAAAAUCUAGUAGUUCCGACUUUGAGUUAAGACUUAUCUGAAGCAUCUAGACAUUUCUUAUCAUUAUAAAGAAAAUUUCAAUGACUAGUCAGAACUAUCUCUGUUAUACUCCUUCCUGUUUCCCUUUUCAUGCAUGACCUAUUUGGGUGCAAACAAGCAUGGUGAAAAAAAUUUCUUUCACUGGUGAAUAUGUGGGCAAAGGUUUCAGGAUUGUUGUAUUGGUAUGAUAGCACUGAGGGGUAAGUUAUGCUUGUUAACUCAUUUCUUGGCCAGGUGUUCGUUUCAGAGAAAGCUUAUCUUUUGUAUAACAAACUUCACGACUUAUAGGAAGCAAGAAUAAUUGAAAGAACAUUUGCAGCAUUGAACACUACUUUAAGUGAAACAAAAAAUGGUAGCCUCGGGAACAAGUAACACAGUUGGCUCAUUGACAUCUUUCUACAUACGUGGCUACGGGUGGAUAUAAACUUGAUGUACUAAUCUAAACUCACAACACAUAUAUAAGUGGUGGUUUUCUAUUAAAUUGAUUGCAUUUGGAGUUUUCUUAUCCCUAAGACUACUGAUUACUGAAAUAUACAAUAAUUUUCAGAAAUAACAAAGGUCCCUGACACUCUUAUGGUGAUAGUUGGUUAUAUGAAGGGCAUGUUCUAAUUAUUUAAUUAGCUUAAUGAUAUUGCUUUCUUAUAAUUUUGAAGGAUACUGAGAUGGUUAACUGAUGAAAAGAAAAUUACUAAAAGAAACUAAUCAAACAAAAAUUUCACAAUUCGAUUGUUGAGAUGUCACUAAGUUAUCUCCUACAUUUUCAAUCCUUUCACUUCUUUUCCCUUGGUACUGUAUGUUAUUAAGAGUAAUCUGUUUCGUAUUCUCUUGCAGCGGUACUGAUACAGAUACUAAUGGAAUUCAUGUCUGCGAAAUUUAAUUAAGUCCCUUAACAAAUUAGACGUUGAAGUAAGUUGGUAAUAUAUAAAUUCUAUUUUUUUUGUUCAAGUUUUGGCACUUUUUUGUUGCUUCUUUUGUUUGAAGUUAGCUCCAAAAGAUUUUGACGCUGGCUUGGUUUGUUUAACUAAUUAUUAGUUUAUGGCUCCUAUUUUAUCCGCUCAUUUCUUCUACUUGAGUUUUUCGGUGCUGUUAGUGUUCAACUUUUCAUCUUCCGUUAAUUAUUGGAUUGGAUUAUAACUUUUACUCUAUUUGUUGAAUUCUAAUGUUAGAAAAACUAUAGAGGUUGACUUAUACUUUAAUAGUUACGUAGGUGAUUUUUUUAUUUCAUGAAUAUGGCCAGAAUUUAUGUUGCCAAGUAGAGUAGGUCGUUGAGGUAAGAUUUGUGAUGAUAUACGAGGAAUUAACUUUGUACUUUAGCUCCUAUUCAUGUGAUAAUAUCCAGCAACUUCUGUUCAAUGCCUUGAUUAGACCAAGUGACAGAUCAAUUUGUUAAAAAAAUUAGAGCUUUCAUCUAUUUAUGUAACUGGAUUUGUGCUUUUGGUUUGUCAAAAUGCUAGUCAAUUAUAAGUUUUUCAUCAAAUAUUUUUGUUUCAUUAUUUCAGCUUAGUGAUGUGGAGAGCCGAUCUACUUCCCCUCAUGGAUGUAAGAGUAGCAUCAAGCGAUAACAAUGCAAAUCACCAAGCAAGUACAUUGCACUUUGUAUAUUUAUUUAUUGAGGAUGAGGAUCUACUCUUUAUUGUAUAAUGUUUAAGUUAUCAUACAUUUAUUUGUAUAAUUUUUGUUUGAUAUGAAUUUGAAAUUGUGAUGUUUGUUAGUAUUGAUAUUUUUAAUGGAAUUUGAUUUCUGUUGUGAGAGUUAUUUAGUAAAAUUAUUAUAUUGAAUCCUCGAAU